UACGGAGGGUGCAAACGUUGCUCGGAAUCAUUGGGCGUAAAGCGCACGUAGGCGGCCUCGUAGGUCGGAUGUGAAAGCUCUCGGCUCAACCGGGAAAGUGCAUUCGAAACCACAAGGCUUGAGUGUCGGAGAGGAAGGCGGAAUUGUCGGUGUAGAGGUGAAAUUCGUAGAUAUCGACAGGAACACCUGCGGCGAAAGCGGCCUUCUGGACGAAC
rnacentral:rRNA from 1 species